GAUGAACGCUGGCGGCGUGCUUAACACAUGCAAGUCGAACGGUGAAGCCCAGCUUGCUGGGUGUAUUAGUGGCGAACGGGUGAGUAACACGUGAGUAUCCUGCCCUUAACUCUGGGAUAAGCCUUGGAAACUGGGUCUAAUACCGGAUAUGAGCGUCCACCGCAUGGUGUGUGUUGGGAAGAUUUAUCGGUUUUGGAUGGACUCGCGGCCUAUCAGCUUGUUGGUGGGGUAAGGGCUCACCAAGGCGACGACGGGUAGCCGGCCUGAGAGGGUGACCGGCCACACUGGGACUGAGACACGGCCCAGACUCCUACGGGAGGCAGCAGUGGGGAAUAUUGCACAAUGGGCGCAAGCCUGAUGCAGCGACGCCGCGUGAGGGAUGACGGCCUUCGGGUUGUAAACCUCUUUCAGUAGGGAAGAAGCGAAAGUGACGGUACCUGCAGAAGAAGCACCGGCUAACUACGUG
rnacentral:rRNA from 1 species